rnacentral:pre_miRNA from 1 species
CUUGUACUCCCUCCGUCCGAAAAUACUUGUCAUUGAAAUUGAUGUAUCUAGAUGUAUUUUAGUUCUAGACACAUCCAUUUUCAUGACAAGUAAUUCCGGAUAGAGGGAGUACUUG